AUGGAUUUUGCUUUAAUAAUUCAUCCUUCACCAUGUUUACUAGGUUAAUUAUAUUUCAAUCUCUCCUCUUAAUUAGAAAUGUCUUUCAGUUUCUUCUAAUUCAUAUGUACAAUAUAAUUCUAAUAGAUAUUUUCAUAACUCAUAUUUCAUAUCUUAUGGAAGUAUUCUUUAUUUUGUAGAUUUAAUACCAUAUGUUCAUUGUUUAGUAUGGUACAUGUGCUUUUCAUCAUAAUUUGGGUGUAGCUAUCCAAAAAAAGUAAAGGACACUGGAUUAGAUUUGGAUUGUGGACUCAAGGAAACCCUUUUAUGAAGAUCUAGAAUUUGGAACAAAAUUCCUUUGUGAAUUGUUAUCAAGCACUUAAUUUGACCUUCGAAAUGGAUGACCAAGCAUGGGAGAUAAGAGAUAACUAGCAAUAAAGAUAGACUCAAUUGGGUGGAAUUUCGAGACUUUACUAAGUUUUGUUUAUUUUUUAAACAUUUUAGGUAGACAAAUUUGUAAUUUUUGUGGAGAAAGUGCUCUUAAUAAUUGUAUCAGAAAUACUUUAUAAUGACGCUUAUUUAGACAAAAGCAAAGGCUAGUAAUGAGAUUUUUCUAAUAAUUAUUUAUUUGAUAAUCUUUUUGGGUGGACAAAUUUGCAGUUUCUAUUGAGAAAAUAAUAUCAAUAGAUUAUCAACAAAUUGUUUUCCUAAUUAGUCUAAUUAAUCAUUGUAAAGCGACAAUUGAUAUGACAUUUUAUUUGUUUGCAAACUAUUCUUAUAUAUAAGUAUGUCUUGAUUCAGUAUAUAUUUAUAAAUAUAUUGAGAUAAGCAAUGCAUUCAAGAAGAUAGAUCAUAAUCAUUUUUUAUAUACUUGGUUUGGGAUUAAAGAUAACAUUAAAAUAUAAUGUUACAAGUUGAAAUUUUUUGAAUGGUGUGAAACUCUAUUUUUCUCAUUCCCUUCUAACUGUCAUGAUUGGAAAAACAUAAUCCCCACCAUACUCUAUCACAAGUAAAUUGACUCAUAAUAUGAGUAAAUGAAAAUUUUAAUUUAAAAAUAAAUUCUUUUGUUUAUAUAGAACACAAAAUUCAUUACUUAAAAAAGAAAGCAGUAUGACAUUAUUUAUUUUAGAGGGAAAAAAAAACGUUGCCCUUUGUAGGUUUAGUAAAGGGUUAUAUAAAAAAACAUUUAUUAAUUAACAAUUUAAAUGAAAUUAUCUUAUGAGAAAAACGUUAUUUUUAGGUAUGACUUAUCAUAAUAUAUGGUUUCAUGAUUAUCUUAGAAUUUAAAUUAUAUAUCUUUAGCUACUUUCUCUCUUUGGUUGUCUGUAAUAAUCAUAAGCCUUACGUCAUUGAUCUCCCACUCGGUAAGAAAGUGUGUGUCUAUAUAUAUAUAUGUAUAUAAUUGGACAAGAUUUCGAUUUUGCCUCAUUUAUAUUGCAAUAUAUUUAGUUAUUUUGAGGAUCUGGUGUUGGUAAAAUUCCUGUGAAAUAAUAUAUGUUCCUUUAUAUUAGAACUCAAGCUAACUGAAAGAAAGCAAUCAUUUUAUCUAUUAUUAUAUUUACAUUCUUUUCAUUGUAUUUAUCUCCAUUUUUUUUUUUUUUUAAAUGUCUCCAAAAUCUUAAAUGGAAAUGUUUCAAUAUUUUUGUUUCAAAAUUUAAAAUAUAAACAUAUUGUACUCGUGCUAUACACAUACUGUUUUUUCUAUUUUAUAUUUACGAUAUUACUUUUUUUUUUUUUUUUUUUCAUGUCAGGGAAAUCUACGAUUGUUAUUAAUUGUCAACUAACUAUGAUGAUAAAUAUUCAUCUUAAGGGAAUCCUUGUUCUUGUUCAUGAGAAUCGACAUGAUAGUUGAACUUGAGGGAAUUAAUGACAGAUUUUAUUAUGUCAAAACUACGAAGAAGUUGUGAGAUGGUACAAGAGGAUAAUGUCAUUUUUACUUUCAAUGAACAUUGCAUGGUGAUAUUUGAGGAAAACAACAUGGUUUGAUCCAAAUGGACUCCACACAUGGCACAGAGAGGUUCAUAUUAGCAAUUUAGCAUUUAAUUUAUUCAUCAAAAGUCAUGUGGAAUAGAGAAAUCCAGAGUAGAUUAAAUAACUAUGCCAAAAUUUUACACCCUCAAAAUUAAAUAUUCACUUAUAAAGUAAGUUCAAUAUAUAAAAUGUUGGAUAAUAAAAAAGUACACAUUUUUAGGGUAAAUGCUUUUUUUUUUUUAGGCCAAAAUAUAAGCACAAUAUAACUCACUACACUAGAUCUAGAUGAGCUCGGUAGUGACCACAUUUUUUUUUUUUGGAUAAAAUGUGACCACUUUAUUUGGUUUGGGGUUGUGGUUUGAAAUUGUACUUUUUUUUUUCAAAAUACAUUUAAUAAUAACAACUUUAAUAUCAUUUUGGCUCAUCAUACAUCAACCCAUUUUCUCAAUUGGUUUUGUGAGUGUCAUAGGCUUCGGUAUUUCUCCUCAUUCUAUUGCAUGUUGUGUAAAUUAGGACGACUAAUUGGAUUAAUUAUUUCGUAUAAGGGCUGUGUAAAUCUUUUUCACGCGAGCAUAGGCAAAAAGCUAGGGGUUCGAAUGACCCGCUUAAAAAAAAAAAAAAAAAAAAAUCUAAGUCCAAUAGACUAACAAUGAUCAUACAACUUUUGCCCCCUCCCAAUUAUAAUUUGAUUUUUUUUUUUGGAGAUAUUUUAUCAUUUCUUAUUAAUAUAUUAAGUUUUCAAGUUUAUCCUAAACAUAACUUAUUUCACAACUUUUUCUAUCGUUUGUUGAGAUAGCAAGUUGUGAGUAAUGGACAAUCACUUUUCGCAUAAACCCACCACUAACAUCACUUUUAUUUUUCACUAUCACAACCUACUAAUUCAGUAAGUUGCGUACAAAAUUGUGUUACUAGCUUUAUUUUAAACAAUAUAUUUGAAAAUUUCCAUACUCAAGCUUCCUUCUUCAUUCAUGGCUUUUAUUUAUCUACAAUUGGCUAUCCAUAUAUUCCAUCGCGCAUAUAAUUGUUAUAAUGUAGUUAGAGCAUUAGCAUCAGACAAUUCUAAUUCUACUCUAUUUUACCAUUCCAAAAACCCACUUUAUCAUUAUACCAUACCAUUUUACCAUUCCUCCAACAUCCCAAAACUCUAUUUUUAUUAAAAUAUUAAUUUUUAAUCAUUCUUUAUUAUUUAUUUCCAACCGCUACAUUUUUUCAGACUUGGCUGGUAUUUGAUCAAUCAUUUCAUCCUUUUUUUCACUUUCUCUCCCAUGCUCUCUAUCACUUUCUCUCUGCCUCUCCAUUUCCCUUUCUCUAUGCUUGAUUGCCUCUCGAGUUUGUGGGUCUCUCUGGUGCUGGGUGUGGCUGGGCUGCAGUGGUUUUUCGUGGAUCGUGGGUCUCUGCGGUGGAUUGUGGAAUUUCUGCAUCUUUGCGGUGGAUCGUGGAUCGUUUUUCGGUUAGUUUUAAUUUUGUUGGGUUUUGAUUGAUUUUGGUGGGAUUUGAUUUUUGUGGUUGGGUUCGUGGGUUGAUCAGAGUGGCUUUGGGUGCUGGUUGUGGAUGGGUUUGGGUUAUGGUGUUGGUGGUGGAUUGAUUUUGGGUUGGGGUUUGAUUUUUGUGGUUGGGUUCGUGGGUUGAUCGGAGUGGCUUUGGGUGCUGGUCAUGGAUGGGUAUGGGUUAUAGUGUUGGUGGAGGAUUGAUUUUGGGUUGGGGUUUACGGUGAUGGAAGGUAGGUGGGUGAGUGGGUUUUGGUUGAUGGUGGGUAUGGUUUGUGGUGGUGGUGGCUAGUGGUGGGUUAAGAAGGAAGAGAGCAGAUGGAGAAACAGAGAAGGAAGAGAGAAGAUUUCGUGGGAAAAAACAUAAUAAAAUAUUAUUAUUUUUACAAUACUGCUACAAUACAAUUCUAAAGAUAGAAUUGUACUGUAGCAAAAUGCCAAAAAAAUUUGCAAUUCUUACCUUUAGCAUUUCCUGAUGCAGUAGAUUUUGAGGCUUAAAAUACUAAAUACACCUUACAUAUGGCAUUAGCAUUCUCUAAUACUAAUGCUCUUCCUAUGAGAUUUGUAUAGUCAAGACAAACGGUUGACAAGAAACUAGGGAUUCAUAGUUGGGAACUUUCAAACGGUGUAAAGUGUUGUUUGUAAUGGGAGCUAAUUAAAUAUAUGCAUGUGGCCCACUCAAUUAUCAUGCAUUCCGAAAUUCUAUGUUAUUUAUUUUGUUAGCCAUAGUAGACGUUGUUUUCUCGUGUGCAGUAAAAUUCUGUACCCAUGGUCUUGAAUCUUGAAAGUAUCAUUAGGAAAAUAUCAAUUCAUAAGACCAUGCAAACACUUCCCCCUUUUUGUUUUAAUUUCAUCCUGACACUGCAUUAUGCGGUAGUAAAUUUGUGUAGGUAAAAUAUCAUAAUUGUUAUCAUAAUUAGUAGGGCUGUCCACGGGUCGGGCCGGGUCGGUUUUCGACCCAGCCCGGACCCGACUCGCCGCCGUCGGGUGGAAGGCGGAGGGACCCGAAUCCGACCACCGGCAUCAAUCGGUCGAGUCGGUUUCGGGUUCGGGUAGUGUUCGGUCGGUUCGCCUGAUUCUGCAAACGUCGCCAGAAUCUUCAAAAGAGUCGCCGAAAUUUUCAAAAACUCAGUAUAUUUGCUCAGAAAAUCGCCGAAAUAAGCUCGAAUCUCACUGGAUCUCACCAAAUAUGGCCGAGAUCUCGCCGAAAUCAGCUUGGAUCUCCUUGAAUCUCGCCGGAAAUUAGUUUGGAUCUCCUCGAAUCUCGCCGGAUUUCACCAAGUAUGGUCCAGAUCUCGCCGAAAUCCACUUGGAUCUCCUCAAAUCUCGCCGGAUCUCACCAAAUAAGGUCUAGAUCUCCUCGAAUCUGAGCUUGAUCUUGCCGGAGUUCAUGGCUUUGUAUAUUACAUCGGUCGGGUCGGGUGGCUCGGGUUUUAGAGAAGAAAACCCGCCACUCGACCCGCCGGUGUCGGGUGGAAGGCGUGAAAACCCGUCACCGACCGACGGAAGGGUCGGUUCGGGCUGAAAUCGGGUGAAAAUCGGGUGGGUUCGUCGGGCCGGCGGGUCUGGGUCGGGUUUGGACAGCCCUAAUAAUUAGUAUGACUUUUUGUCAUUUUCAAUCACCUACCCCUUUUCUCUACCAACUCACGCAUUUUGAUGUAAAUGUUGCAGCAAAAAUUUGUGUAAUUAAUAGCAAUCGCAUUAGUUCAUGUAAACUUUUCAUCUAUUUUACACAUAAAACACUACUUUUUUUUAUUUAUUUUACACACUUAUUUUUACAAAAUAUUCACAUCAGACUAUUUAUUCUACACAUCUAUUCAAUAAAAUAUUCAUUCUUUUACAAUUUUUUAAUAUUUCCUCACUCACUACCCCUCUCUCUCACAAACCCAACAUUACCAAAAAAUACUAAAAUAUUAAAUGCAUGAGUUACAGUAGUUGUACAUAUAUACACGGUUACUAUAGCACUCGUGCAUUUAUACACAAAUUUACACCUACUGAUGUGGGUUUUUUUUGUUCAAAGUGUAUAAAAUUGACUACUUUUUAUAUUUUGCAAGAUUAUGCAUGAUCUGAUGUGGGUGUUUGGAUUGGGUUGUUUUGUGGGAUGGGUGAAAUUUUGUUUAGCUUUGUUUUUCGUUAUUUGUUUCCAAAACUUUUUUUUUUUUUUUUGCUAGGUAAAUGCGGAGGCUCAAAGCCCCGAGCUCAAGGUAUACAGGGACACCGAGUGACACUAGCCUACAAGGUCCAGUGGCCUUUGUUUCCAAAACUUGUUUCUCAAACUGAGAUAUGAGAAUGAAAAUUGAGAAUAGUUUUAGAGCACUCACAGCAGUAGUGCUAUAUUGGUAUAUUACUAUAUUUUAAAUCCUCAAACACCAAAAUCAUGCUCCAGUAGUAGAGCUAAAUUUAUUUUUUUUAGCUCCAUUGCUACAGUGCACAUUUAUAGAUAGAUGUCCACUGUUCAUGAGAGCUAAAAAAAAAAAAAAAAACUCAUUCCUGCCCAAUUAAAAUGUUACCUCUCUUUCAACUCUGAUCAUCUCUCAACUCUCACCUCUCUCUCUCAACUUCCUCUCACUACUGCCAGCCUAACCCCAUGCUGUCGACCCACGCUACCGGCUCAUACCGCAGACCCAUGCCGUCAACCCAUCUCGCCCUUACUCUUUUUUUUUUUUUUUUUUUUUUUUNNNNNNNNNNNNNNNNNNNNNNNNNNNNNNNNNNNNNNNNNNNNNNNNNNNNNNNNNNNNNNNNNNNNNNNNNNNNNNNNNNNNNNNNNNNNNNNNNNNNNNNNNNNNNNNNNNNNNNNNNNNNNNNNNNNNNNNNNNNNNNNNNNNNNNNNNNNNNNNNNNNNNNNNNNNNNNNNNNNNNNNNNNNNNNNNNNNNNNNNNNNNNNNNNNNNNNNNNNNNNNNNNNNNNNNNNNNNNNNNNNNNNNNNNNNNNNNNNNNNNNNNNNNNNNNNNNNNNNNNNNNNNNNNNNACUUAAUUGGUUCCAAAUUUACUCUAAUUAAAAUAUAAUUGCACAAAUUACUCAUUGAAUAAUUAAUGUUUAAUUAUUUAAUUAAUUAGGUGUAUGCAACAUCACCAUAAAAUGUAGUCCUAACCAAUCAAAUUAUGACACAUUAUUAAUUUCAAAUUGAUUAUAAUUAUAAUCAAUUGGAAUCAAUUGUUUAUAAUCAUAUAUAGUCGGACUCAAUUUGUGAUAGUGCAUCUCAGCCAUUAAAACUUGAUUUGAUUAUAACUUUCAAUUUGAUGGUUUGAUUAGGGCUUAUGACCAAUUGAUUAGAUCAUUGCAACAUCAAGAUCAUUUUGGUGAAAUGAGAUUAUGGAUCUAAUGACUAGAAUUAAGAUGCAUAUUCUCAAGGUGAAAAUACCCUUUUACCCUCCACGUGAGGUUAAAUGAGGGUUGCAAAAUGGGGUGUUAACAAUCAUUGACAAGAAUUUUUUCACCACCUAACCUCAGACCAGUUAUAAUAGAGAAGUCAUAAGGUGUCAACAUUACUUCCCUAAUGCCUGGAAAAUGGAAGGUGCAGGUAGUGUCCCAAAAGUGCUUUGCCAAGGCAAGAAGUAACUGAAGAUCUUUGUAUUCAUGUGUCUCUUUGUUUAAUAGAGUUUCGAAAAAGUACCAAAGCUUGCUUCAUCAAUGAUGUUUUUAAUGCUAGGAGACAAUGUUGCGCAUGCACUUUUCAACAUUUGGAGACUGCCUCGACUCUUGAGGCUCUGCAACACAAAAGUUUAGCUCAUCAAUUUCCAUGACCAAACCCACGUACCCAAAAAAGAAAAAAAAAAAAAAAAAAAAAAAAAAAAAAAAAAAAAAAAAAAGAAACCCAAAAACCUGAACUGAAAGAAGAAGAAGAAAAAAAAAGGAAGAACCGAAGACCGAAUCCAAUGGAAGAAGAAGAAGAAAAGAAAAAGAAAAAACAAAAAAGAAACCUAGAAACCCGAACUAAAGAAGAAGGGAAAAAAAAAAAGAAAAAAAAAAAGGAAAAACAAUGGAGAUGAGAGAGCUUUGCCAAACGAAGAAAGAAGUGUGAGAUGAAAGAGAUGAAGAGAGAAGUUGAGGACAGCACACGUGAAUGCCUCUGACCGUGGGACCGGGUGUGUCAUAUUAUUUAUAAUUUUGCUAUUGAAAACAAAGAAUUGAAAAUUGAAAACAGCUAAAAGUUGUUUUCAGUUUCCACAACUCAUAACUCAAAAAGUAGAAAAUUAAGUAUUGCAAACAGAAUUACAAAAACAAAAAAGUUGUGCAGGCAAAUAAGUAUUUUGCUAUAAAUUUCACUAUUUUUAAAAAUUAAGUUAUAAAAAUAAAAAAUUGAGUCAUAAAAACUAGUGAAGCAAAUCUAAAUUUUUAAUUCCAUGCUGUGAAUGUGUGUUUAGUUUUUUAAAAACCGAGUUUGGUGGCAUUUUUGUUAUUAAUUUCAACUGUGUGGAGCCCAGUGCAGUAAGUAGUCACGUCACCUUCAGACCGUUGGAUCUCUCUUCGUUUGGCUUAUGGCUUAGCAAUGAGUUUUACAUUACCAUUUUCCUCGAUUUUUGCUCUCUUCCUUCAGAUGCCAUCACUUCAAAUCCAACUCACUCAUCUCACCCACCUCUCUGAACCAACAUUCACUUCCUUUAAUUUUUCUUUUCCCAGCCUUUAUAUCAACUCACUCAUCUCACCCGCCUCUCUGAACCAACAUUCACUUCAUUCACUUCCUUUAAUUUUUCUUUUCCCAGCCUUUAUAUCAACUCACUCAUUUCACCCACCUCUCUGAACCAACAUUCACUUCCUUUAAUUUUUCUUUUCCCAGCCUUUAUAUCAAACACCAGUGGUUCAGUUCAUCAUAAUCUCACGCGUGAAAAAAUCUUUUGAGAGAAGAACCCAUCCCAGCGAAGACCCAGCACCACCGACAAGCCCAUCUCUCACCGGCGCUGAAAUCGGUCAGUUCAUCAGCUCCGAACUCUGCCCAGGUGACCACGUUUUCUCUCUCUCCCUCUGUAAACCCAGCGUGCUCUGUUUUGUAUUUCUCUAUAUAAUAAGCUGUCAUUCUCUUCUAUUGCACCAAAGAGACCUUUUAAGUUCUCUAAAUUCUUUCACCCCGUCCUUUCUCUCUUGUUCUCAUCAGCCGAAACAAAGCCCCCUCCUCUUAGCCACAGCUAAAUCUACACCUCUCUAUUUCUUGCUCAGUGACUACUCCAUUCAUUUUUUUUCUUUGUUUGUUAUUUUUUGGUUCAUAUAUCACGUUGAUGGUAGAUAUUUGUGUAGCUAAUAAAUUUGAGAUGAUUUUUUUUUCUCUCUAUUUGGUUAGAUCAGUGAGCCAUCUCAUUCUAAAAGAAUGAGGCCCAAAAGAACUCUCAAUCCGAGGCGGAGAAAGAAAAUGGGUCCUAACAAGUUCUUAGGUGCCAAUCUACGCACAACCGAAUUAGAUAUUGGAAUUGGGGGACUAGGAAAGAAAAGGUAAAAUAGAAUAUGGAUGAUUUUGUUAUUCUGCAUUUCAUCUUGGAUUAUUUGUUAAACUGGUUUGCUUUAUCUAUAUCUUGAUUCUUAGGUCUAUUAUCUAUUUAGAUGUUAUUGUUUCCAAGAUUUGAUUUUAUAUAUAUAUAUAUAUAUAUUCCAAAUGAAAAGCUUUCCAACUUGCCUAUAAAUGACAGAAGGUCUUACUCUUGUACUUGUAUAUAUGGGAUAAUACUCUGUGUCUCUGUUUGACUUUAGCUUAUAAAAGUCCAGCUUUUAGCUUUGUUAUCAAAGAGAGAAAAAUUGAUAGGUUCAGAGAAAUCUUUAGCUUUUUUUGAUAGGUUUUUCCACAAUUUUUUUUUUGUUAAAAUGUACCAGGAGACAGGUAGCACAGUGCAACAAAAAAGAACACACGGCGCUGUUUAUAUAUUAUAUGGAAUUACUUAUGCUUUUUUUUUAAAAUGAUUUUCUUCUCUUAAAUUGCUGAUUCAUCAAAUAGGUACACUAAAUUAAGACCUACCACUAAAACAUGAACUAACAAAGUUGUGUGUGAGAGAGACCAAAUUGAAGCUUUUCCAUUACAACUUAUUUAGCAUUUAGUAUGCUUAAUUUUCUUAUAUAUAUCUAAUUGCAGGCCAAGGAUGUGGUUGCAAUAA
rnacentral:sRNA from 1 species